AUGGGGAAGGGGUUGAGUAAAGAAAAACCAAGAGAUAAAUUGCAGUGUCAGGAUUGGAAAUUCAUAGAACAACAGGAUCCAUGUAAAAAUCGAAAACUAGACAGAUGGAUUGUUAAACACAAUUUCGACGGAAGUUUAAAUACGCAAAAGAUAAGUGUAUUACAAGACAGCAUUACAAAACUAACCAAAAAAAAUCCCCAAAAAAUGAAGCAGGAAGGUUAUGAAGAAACACAGUACUGGAUGAAAGUGGCAGGACAAAGAGAAGGAGGAAAGAGAAAGAAAAAACAGAAAGAACAGGAUCAUAGACAAAAAGAUAAAGACGAAGACCGUGAAAAAGACUUAAUGUAUCAGAGGAAAGAAGACAAUGAGACAGGACCUAGCAGACGACCUAGAGGCGACCGAGAUUUAGGCCAAGAGGCCGAAGGGGGAGCUGCAGGUCCAGCUCCCUCAGGACCAGGACGAGGACUUUACCCAGACUUAAGUGAGUUACCACCAUAUGAUGGACCAACAGAAACCUCUAGAAGUACUCGAUCUAGGGGAAGAGUAGGAGACUGGUCCAAAAUAAUGGGAAAAGUCUUUUCCCCGGGAGAGAAAUCUCCACCGGUAGUACAGCAGGAUGAGUUAGGGACAAUGAUUGAGGUAGCAAAUCCAAAUGUCGACGAUGCCAACAACCCCGUUAUUCUAGUUUAUAGGACGUGGACUAUAGACGAUGUAAAGAAGGCCAUAGAAGGAGUGACCUCCCAUAAGGAGGAUGUCACACAAUUCGUUCAAGAUAUGGAGAACUUGAGACAUUCCUACCAUUUAAACGGGCAGGAAGUGCAGCAGGUCUGGAUGCAGGCGCUAGGACCAGACUGGCAUUAUGUGAGGGGUCCAUGGAACCCUAUGAGAGGAGAUUGUGUUCUGGGUCAUGAUGACCCUGAGUUAAAUAACCGUGUACGAGACCUGAAUGACAGAGUUACUCUACAGUUUAGACAUAGAGCUAACUACACCGAGAUAGGUAGAGUAAAGCAAAAGGAGGAUGAAUCCUUUGAAGAAUAUAAGAUAAGAAUGACAACUAAAUUCAAAACCCACAGUGGAUUGCAAGAUGAUGGAAAUAUAAAUGGGGUAUUCCAGCAACAAUUAAAAAAUGCUCUCCAUGCAGGAUCAAAAGAUGGAAUACGUUGCUGGGUUAAUAAACAUUACAUAGGAUUCGCUACAGGGACCAUGGAGGACUAUGUUAACCAUGCCCUCCAUGCAGAAAAAGUAAUUAAGGAGAAAAAAGGUGGAGUGUUUUAUCAGGAGAAAGAAGAGGAAAAAGAGGUGUUCUACCAAGAUAGCGGCAGAGGCCAAGGACGUGGUGGAUACAGAGGGAGAGGAGGCUUUCGAGGCAGAGGCCGAGGAGGAAGUUACAGAGGAGGAUAUCAACAAAACCCAAGAGAGUGUUGGUGUUGUGGAAGAGAGGGACAUAUUGCCAGAAACUGUCCACAAAAAAAAUCGGGUGAGUUGAAAUGA
rnacentral:lncRNA from 1 species